rnacentral:lncRNA from 1 species
CAAAAAACAAAAUCGGGAUAACAAACUAAAACCGAGGGAAACGCAUUAAAUAUAAGAGGAGAACAACGACAUAACACUAAAAUGUAACACAUAUAGACAAAAUCCCACGAGAAUAACAAAUAUAACAUAUAUAUAUAACAUCAAAACCAAAUACAUGAAUUUGGGAUAGACAAGUACCGUGACACGUCUUAUCGCAAUGUGAAUUUACACUAAAAAAUAAGAGAAAACAAACGACACAACGUUAUAAUGUAAUACACACAGAAACGAACUAUAAUAUAACAAUGACCAUAUUCCUGACUUGGUACAGG